ensembl:lncRNA
AUACUUGUACAGUCGAGUGCCUGAAUGUGAGACAUUCAGUGACAGGCAAGAAUUGAGGCCAGAGAUAAACAUUAAUAAUAUAUGAGAGCAUUCUUAGAGAGAAACUAAAUCAAAAGAUUGUACUUACUGUCUCAACUAUUUUCCAUCUGUCUCGUUGUCAUAUAGGGAGUGAAGGGUGAGAGAGGCUUUGCUGGUCCGAUGGGGGACAAGGGUGAUGAGGGGUCCCCAGGUGUGCCAGGAUUGCCUGGAUCCACAGGCCGCAUGGGUCCACAGGGACUUAUUGGCAGACCAGGACCUGUUGGGUCCUCAGGACCAAAGGGAGAACGGGGUAGCGAAGGACCGCAAGGCAGACCUGGACCUCCUGGACCCCCUGUAAGUUCUGAAUUAAAGUGUGCAUUUUCUACACCACUAGAAAUUGCAAACAUAAUUGCAAAAAUAACAAAUGCUUUCCUACAGGUUUCCAUAACUCUUCCCACUGUCUGUCACUGGUCGCCAAACAGAUAGCUCCGCCCCAAUCUAGCAUCACAUGGUUGGAGUUUUGAAUACAAUAAGCAAUGUUUUGCACCAGUAUUUAUCCUUUUUGUUAAAUCAGCCUACAAGUGGUAAAUUCAUAGUUCUCUCUGCAUAUAAAGAUGGAAUGGGAAAAACAAUUUUACAUAGAAAAAAAAAAUCAGCUAUAAAUGAGAUGGGUAUAAGUAAGAUGGGUAUUUGAUUAAAGUGUGCUUUAAUCAAAUAAUAUACUUUUUUGAAUACUUAUAUUUGUAGUUUCAUACAAGUUCAGACCUAAAUAUUAGCUUCAGCAGCCCACGUAACCAUGUGGCUGUCAUUUCGGUGAACAUGAAAUAUGCAAAAUCUAUUUUCUUCAACACUCCAGCUCAUUUCAGACAUACAUAAGAAAAUGAAAAACUGAAAUGUAUACAGUAUGCAAUGCUCUAAUACAUUAAAUUGACAGCCAUAAUUUUAUAACCACAUUAGUGGCCCAAGAAAUCCAAACAAAAUGACAAUUUUAGACUCCUAUUAUAUAUUGUUUCCCUUAUGAUUUUAUAGCUUGGUGAAUGAUAAAUAAGAAGAAGAAUCUCAUUGACUUGUAUUUGAAGGAGGAACCUAUGACAUAUCUGGAAACCAUAAUAUCAUAUUGAUUUGGGAGGGUUAUUUCGACUUGAGCCAAUAAGCAACCACCUAGCAACAUGCUAAAAAUCUUGUAAAUGUGUUCUUUUCAGGGUGUCCCAUAUGCAGAGGGCAAUGGGAUGAGCAGUCUCUAUAAGCUUCAGGUAAAACUUUAACCUGAUACUAAAACACAAUCACAGUAUUUUAGUAUGUAACAUAUAUGUCAUAUUGUUCACACUUCAUAAACUGCAAUAAUCCUUUUUAUUAUUUACAGAAUGGCGCAGCUAAUACAGGUCAACCUGGACCACCAGGGCCCCCGGUAUGUGUCGUAUUUUUUAAAUUAUGUCCCACAUUUAAUAAAUAGCUCUUUGAUUGUAACCCACCACAGGGAAUCAGUUGUAUCACUUUUAAUGAAGUUUAAAUGUCAAUACACAAAGAAGCUUCAAUGAUUUGGGAAUCUGUAUUCGGUUUGGCUGCUGUCCGCCCCUGAUUUCAAGAGGUUUACACAGCAUGUAUUGAAGGACGGAUCACGGCCACACAGACACAAAUCUGAAACUCAGACAAUGACAGUAGCCCAAAGGGAGAAGGGGGAAAAAACCAUCACACAUACUCAACAAAGUAGCUGCUUGUAAAGAAGGGGUAAUUGAAAUGCAGCACUUUAACGGGGAAAAAAAGAAAUAUAUAUAAAAAAGCUUUUCUGCCCUAGUGGAAUCAUCCGAUUAGUUUAUCAACACAGUGACAUCCACACUUAUCUAGUCUUUAUGUAAUGUGUCCAUCCUUUCCAUGAAGAACAAGAGUGUAUUCCCUCCUGGGCCAUCUUUACCAGACUGCCCAGAACUCUGAAAAAUUCUAAACCCUUAUCAGUAAGUCUGAAAGAGGACACUCUCCAAUCUCCCUCCUCACUGCGAUAGACUCAAGGAGCUGCUUACAAGUCCCUGGGGGUGUUUUGUUUAGGUUUAUCCUCAACUGAACUUGUUCUAAGGGGGACGUGACACCUCCUGUUAAUGUGCCGCAGCUGGAGGAGACCACACUUAGAUAAAGCACACUUAAAAUUACAUUGAACUUCAUUUGAACAAUCAAGAGGCUUGUUUUUGGAAGAACGAAUGAUGUUACAGGGUUGUGUUAGCAUGCAGAGUCAUGAUAUAGCUCUCUGGUGUGCUAAAGGGUAAAAUUAGCUUUUGAAUGUAAUAUUCAAUCUCAUUUUAUUGGAGGAAAUAAGGAAAAUUGGAGGCACUCUUGGCUGUCAUCUCAAAAACUGGUUAAAUUUGCCUCAAUUCACUUUAGUGUUUUUAUUUUAUGUCCAAUGCAGCUCUGUUUGGCUUUGUUUCUGAACCUAGCAUGCUUCAUCACUAACUAUGGUCUACAAAGGCAGCAUCCUAAGCAUUAUUGAACCUCACAAGUGAAUGAUUUGAAACUCUACAUAGAAAUAUACAGUCAUUCAUGCACAGCACACAUCAUGCCUUAAAUUGUUAAAGGGGUCAUAUGAUGCGAUUUCAAAUUUUCCUUUCUCUUUGGAGUGUUACAAGCUCUUGGUGAAUAAAGAAGAUCUGUGAAGUUGCAAAAACUAAAGUCUCAAAUCCAAAGAGAUAUUCUUUAUAAAAGUUAACACUUGUCCACUCCCCCCGAAACGGCUCGUUCUAAAACACCCCCACAUAUCUACGUCAGUAUGUUGGAAGAUUUGCAUAACACCGCCCAGAUGUUUACGCAAAGAAAGAAGGCGUACCUUUAAUACUUGUUGUAGUAUUGUUGUUGCCGCUGCCGCCAUGUCUUAUAGACGCUGUGUGUUUCACUGUGAAAGCGAAACUACUUUGUUUGGCCUUCCAAAAGAGGACUAUAUCCGCUUCAUCAUGCCUGGAGCUGAUCCGUGCUGGUCGCUGAGGAAAUACAUUAACUUUGCACUGUGGAUCGCUGAAUUGGAUUAACCGUGGACAAAGCGGAGUUCAGCCCGGGGUCGUCACAUGUGGUUUUUNGCGUACCUUUAAUACUUGUUGUAGUAUUGUUGUUGCCGCUGCCGCCAUGUCUUAUAGACGCUGUGUGUUUCACUGUGAAAGCGAAACUACUUUGUUUUUGCCUUUCAAAAGAAGACACGACUAGAAAUCAUGUUUAUAUCACGUUUAUAGUGGGUUUUAUGUUUAUGUCUCGUCGCUCCGGCCAGACAAGUCAUCACAAUAUGUAAAGAGGCGUAACAUUUCCGUCACAUGCCUGAGGCAUUCGGCCAAUCACAACGCACUGGAUAGCUGGCCAAUCACAGCACACCUCGCUUUUCAUAGGAAUGAGCCUUGUAAAAAUCGACGCGUUUCAGAAGGCGGGGCAUAGAGGAGAAACAAUAAUGUACAUAGGGUGACCAGACGUCCCGAAACAUUCGGGACAGUCCCGAAAUCUAAACUGUUGUCCCGAAUCCCGAAUCUGGCCCUAAUUGUCCCUAAAUUAUACUAAAGCAAAAUCUUGAGUAGUUAUUGUCUGAUAAACAUUAAAAACUGUCUGCGGAGGUUGAGUCGUCCUGCAACCAGCCCUCGCCAGCUGCUCAAUGGCUGCAGCAUCUUUUUUCUAAGUUCUAAAAAAAUACAGCAUAGGCAGCUAGGUGCGAAUUUAGAUAUGCAUUGAUAAGCUAAUUUUCAUUCACUCCAUUGGCAUGGCUGGUGUACCGGAACCCCAACACGCUGUUAAAAAGCAAAAACGAUGAAGAGAGCGCAAGUUGCUGCAGCCGCGAGGAGGACAGUGAUGCACGCAUAAAGGAGUGACUGAUUGUUCGCGACACUGUGUACAAAAAAAUACUUCACUACACAAUUAUUUCGUUAUUUUCGUUUAAGCUUAUUAGCGUUAGGCUAUACAGAAAGGUCUGAUUUACGCACUGUUACUUACAACAGUCAUUGUUUUUUUUGUUUUUUUUUCACAAUGACAUUUGAGUUCAUGAUUGUAAUGUUGUUGUUUUGUUUUUUUGUGGCAGACUAAAGACUAAUGACAGACUGUUGAUCUUUGAUUAAAAAUAUGGUUCAGGUUUGAAAUUCAUUAUCUUUUAUUAUAGGCUACGCAGCUUAAUAUUAUAGAAGCCCCCCAUCCCGUUACCCCAGACACCAUGAUAUCAUUAGUUGUUUUUAUCAAAUUAACUGUUGGAAGAAAACCUCCCAUAACAUUUCCCAAAAUGCCUCAACAUCUUAACACAAUUAUAUAAUCAAUAGAUCCAAAUUAUGUCAAAUAUUUAUCUAAUAAAAUAGAGUGAACAUUUUGUGCUGCUCUGUGGCAAAAUUAUAAUAUCUGAGUUGGCUGAAUAACUCGUACUGAACUGAGUUAAUAUUUCUAAUCAGUCGAGUAAAAAUGUAUUCUAAAUAUGAAUUGUUAAUUACAUAAUGUAAUUGUUUGUUGUAAACUUCCUAGCAUUCCUUUCUUGUGUGAUUCAAAUCCAGUAAAUUCUACUUCCUGUCAUACCAAUUAAACUUCCUGGGGUACGUUGUCAGUUUCAUUCAAAUUCACACAUAAAAUGCAAAAGAUCCAAUUCUUAAAUUCUGAGUUGUGCUCUACCCUGUUAGACUGACAGCUCACUCGGCUUUGGAACAGAAUUCUGUCAGCAUAAUUCCCUCGUGGGUCUUUUGUUUGACAGUCACUUGAUUGUGUUACUGUUUGACAGCAAAUCUAAGCAGAUGUCAUCCAGCUAAUUACACAGAUUGGAUUAAUUGAUAGCACACAUAGCACAUAGCAGUAAGGUCAAAUAAGGUCAGUUUCACAGGCUAAUUUUGUGCUUUUGAUUUCCAGGGGC